rnacentral:rRNA from 1 species
AUUGAACGCUGGCGGCAUGCCUAACACAUGCACGUCGAACGGCAGCACAGUAAAGACUUCGGUCUUUCUGGGUGGCGAGGGUCGGACGGGUGAGUAACGCGUAGGAAUCUGUCCUGGAGGUUGGUAUACCCCGAGGAAACGCGGGCUAAUACCGCAUGAUAUCCAGAGAGCAACAGCAGUGGGCCCUUCGGGGCCGUGCGCUCUAGGAUGAUCCUGCGUCGGAUUAGCUAGUUGGUGGGGUAAAGGCCUAGCAAGGCGGCGAACCGUAGCUGGUCUGAGACGAUGACCAGCCACACUGGGACGGGGAAGCGUCGCAGACUCCGACGGGAGGCAGCAGUGGGGAAUCUUGGACAAUGGGGGAAACCCUGAUCCAGCGAUGCGGCGUGUGUGAAGAAGGCCUUCGGGUUGUAAAGCACUUUGGUUGGGGAAGAAAAGUAAUAAGUUAAUAAUGUAUUGCUCUGACGGUACCCAAAGAAUAAGCACCGGCUAACUCUGUGCCAGCAGCCGCCGUAA